GCUGUGAUGGCCGAGUGGUUAAGGCGUUGGACUUGAAAUCAAAUGGGGUAUCCGCACACAGGUUCAAAUCCUGUUCAUAGCG
rnacentral:tRNA from 1 species